UACGGAGGGUGCGAGCGUUAAUCGGAAUUACUGGGCGUAAAGCGCACGUAGGCGGUCAGGCAAGUCGGGUGUGAAAGCCCUGGGCUCAACCUGGGAAUUGCAUUCGAAACUAUCUGACUCGAGUAUGGGAGAGGGAAGCGGAAUUUCCGGUGUAGCGGUGAAAUGCGUAGAUAUCGGAAGGAACACCAGUGGCGAAGGCGGCUUCCUGGACCAAUACUGACGCUGAGGUGCGAAAGCGUGGGGAGCAAACAGG
rnacentral:rRNA from 1 species